rnacentral:rRNA from 1 species
UACGGAGGGUGCAAGCAUUAAUCGGAUUUAUUGGGCGUAAAGGGCGCGUAGGCGGCUGUCUAAGUCGGAUGUGAAAUCCCGGGGCUUAACCUCGGAACUGCAUUUGAAACUGGAUAGCUCGAGGGUAGACGGAGAAAACAGAAUUCCACAAGUAGCGGUGAAAUGCGUAGAUAUGUGGAAGAAUACCGGUGGCGAAGGCGGUUUUCUAGUUUAUUCCUGACGCUGAGGCGCGAAAGCAAGGGGAGCAAACAGG